UGAAAAUACACACUUCCCUAUUCGCUUGUUCAAUUCUAUAUCUACUAAAGUUCUGAAAAAUAUAAAUGCCAAAGAACAAAGGAAAGGGAGGCAAAAACCGAAGACGGGGUAAGAACGAAAACGUAGUCAAAAGGGACCUAAUAGAAAAAGGUGAAGGGCAAGAAUAUGCACAGGUUAUUAGAAUGUUGGGAAACGGGCGUCUAGAAGCCUACUGCUUUGAUGGAAAAAAAAGGCUAUGUCACAUCCGAGGGAAGAUGAGAAAGAAAGUAUGGGUAAAUCAAAGUGAUAUAGUAUUGGUAGGUUUACGACCCUAUCAAGAUGACAAAGGCGAUAUUAUUUUGCGAUACAAUACCGAAGAGGCCCGGACGUUAAAAAAAAGGGGUGAACUGCCGAGCAAUAUACAAAUCGAAGAUCAUCCAGAACUGGAUGCCGAAGAUAAUGUUCCCUUUGAAUUCACAGCAGAUAAAAACUCUGAUGACAACGACUCAAGCGAUGGAGAAAUGGUGUCUGCACAGCCUGCAAAUAGGGGUAUACUACCACCAGUGAUGUCUGAAUCCAAUGAGGACAUAGAUUUUGAUGCAUUGUAGAAUGUGCACUCUAUAUACAACAAGGAUAAAUUCUGUAAAAAUCUGGCAAAAGUCAGCAAACUGCAUCAGCUAUAAAACGGCAAAUUUUUUUGUAUUCGGAAAAUUUAAAAAAC